GAUGAAGAACGCAGCGAAAUGCGAUAAGUAAUGUGAAUUGCAGAAUUCAGUGAAUCAUCGAAUCUUUGAACGCACAUUGCGCCCGCCAGCAUUCUGGCGGGCAUGCCUGUUCGAGCGUCAUUUCAACCCUCGAGCCCCCCCGGGGGCCUCGGUGUUGGGGGACGGCACACCAGCCGCCCCCGAAAUGCAGUGGCGACCCCGCCGCAGCCUCCCCUGCGUAGUGGCACACACCUCGCACCGGAGCGCGGAGGCGGUCACGCCGUAAAACGCCCAACUUUCUUAGAGUUGACCUCGGAUCAGGUAGGAAUACCCGCUGAACUUAAGCAUAUCAAUAAGCGGAGGA
rnacentral:misc_RNA from 1 species